UGAGGAAUAUUGGGCAAUGCCCGCAAGGGUGACCCAGCAACGCCGCGUGGAGGAUGAAAGCCGUAAGGUUGUAAACUCCUUUUGAAGAGGAAGAAAAUUUUCGAUCGAAUCGAAACCUGACUGUACUCUUAGAAGAAGCCCCGGCUAACUACGUGCCAGCAGCCGCGGUAAUACGUAGGGGGCAAGCGUUGUCCGGAUUCACUGGGUGUAAAGGGCGCGUAGGCUGGUUUGUAAGUUAGAGGUGAAAUCCUGCAGCUUAACUGUAGAACUGCCUCUGAUACUGCAAAUCUUGAGUUCAGAAGAGAGUAGCGGAAUUCCAGGUGUAGUGGUGAAAUACGUAGAUAUCUGGAAGAACACCAGUGGCGAAGGCGGCUACUUGGUCUGCAACUGACGCUGAGGC
rnacentral:rRNA from 1 species